rnacentral:rRNA from 1 species
GAGAAGGUCACACCCGUUCCCAUCCCGAACACGGUAGUUAAGCUUUCUCUGGCGCCGAUGGUAGUUGGGGGGCUUCCCCCUGUGAGAGUAGGUC